GAGGUGGGAGGAUUGCUUGAACUCAGGAGGUGGAGGUUGCAGUGAGCUGAGAUGGUGCCACUGCACUCCAGCCUGAGUGACAGAGGAAGACCCUGUCUCA
rnacentral:miRNA from 1 species